UGUGAGUCAAAAAGAAGUUAUUAAGGUGGGUUCAAUGAAGUGCAUACCAAGGACGCUCUUAAUUCAUCAUAAUUCAUAAAUCAUAGCCCAUAGGGACUACUGCUAUCUUAGAAUAAGCAACGAACGCCGGUACCAGAAGGUGGCCUAGAAAUUUAGCUUGUUUCUUUGUUAUUGGUAAAAGUAUUAACUAAAAUGCUUAUUUAUCUUGAUGAGGUGAUCGAAUCAUCGCUGCUUCAAAGAAUGUGUUCCCCUGGAUGACGGCACUCCCAAGAACCCUUGCACCAGUUUUCACAGAUUUCCAUGCUUCAAUGUGGCCCAAAUCAAGAGCUCCAAUCAAAGUGGGAAAAAGCCAUUUCAGGAUCAAAAGUUAACAAAAAAAGCCAAGUCACAAUUUAGAAAAUAACUAAAAGUACUGCAGCCUCCAUUUCACAGAUGAUGACUUCAUCACCAAGUCGGUCGACAAGCAAUAUGGCCAUGGGUACCAACUAUACGUAGAUCUAAAACAAAGGGGUUUAAAGAUGACACUGUUCUGUCAGUGUGGACAAUCUUCCGUCGUACCUCUCCUCCCCUCCAGCAAUCCUAGACCUACCAGAGCAGUAUCAGUCAGUCAAAGGUUCCAACUCGACUAUGAACGUUAAAAUGCCUUUGGGAUUGAGAUGUUCAUGAAAGAAGGCGUUGAAACAACUCAGGAGGUAUAUAAGAAGUUAUCUCAGGGGACAGUCCCCUCAAAAUUAUCCUUAGUCAAGCCUGAAGCAACAAGGGCCUUGAAAUAGAAGAUGCCCUCACCUUCAAAGCUUUUAAAGAUCAUCACAGGAUUAAAAAAAGUGCAAUUUCCCACUGUCUAAUCACAAAAUCACAGGGGAAGAUUAAAUCUCUUACGGAAGUAAUCAACAUAACUGCAUAUAUUGGAUGAAGGAGGAAUUGAAGAACAAUGAGGCAUAUGAAGUCAUCAUGACCUUCUUGCGUAGACUAUUCCAAUAUUCAGACUUGGAGCCAGUUCAAUUAUCAAAGCUAUCUUUUAUCACGGAGCAGAUGACGCUACUCUUAAGAGCCCAAAGCUAGGAGAUACUUACCAGGUCUUCUCUGUGUUCGUCUCCUAUGGCAAAACGUAAGCACAGCCUUCUAUAACAAAAUCUAUUUGUUAAAUGUCAAGUGUAGUGACUAAAGAGACUGGAUUGCCUGUUUCAACUGUUAAAUAUCUCUGAGCAAGGAUAAAAGACCUGGAUAGCAGAGAACUCAAUAUUACUCUCAUGAUUGAUGAAGUGUACUCAGCACAAAGAGUUGAGUUUGUGAGAGGCAAGUUCCUUGGUUGUAAGGACAAUCAAACUACCAAAACAGUUUUCACAUUCAUGAUCAAGUCUGCUGGAGGAAAGUAUAUGAAUGUGGUUUCACUCGUCCCACUGGCAAAAAUGAAUGCAGAAUUUAUAUAUAAUCAAUACACUCCCAUCAUGAAGACUCUUUAUUAAAUCAGAUUCAUUGAUGUUGCUGUAUCGGUUGACAACCACCCAGCUAAAAAGAAUUCCAAACUAAGCUCCUUUGUUGUGGUAAGUUCCAAACCUCAAUACCUCACCCACACAACAGCACUAGGAAGGGUUAUCUCCUCUUCAACAUAAAGUGAAUUAUAUUUACUAUGCUGUUUCACAUGAUUUUUAUUUUGAAUUCUUACUUAUUGUCUAUUUGAAGUAUGCCUUAUUUUAAUAGUUCCUAUUAAAUAAAUUUAUCUUUGUUAAUGAAAAAAA
rnacentral:lncRNA from 1 species